rnacentral:lncRNA from 1 species
AUAGUUUCAGGUUUUGUGUUUGAAUCUUUGGUUCAUUUUUACUUGAUUUUAUAUAUGUUGUAAGGUAACAUUUUUGCAUGUAGAUAUUCAGAUUCAUAGCACCAUUUGUUUAAAGCAUGCUUUUCUUCUUUACCCUGUUUUUCUGUCUUGGUUCAUGAAACAGGAACUUCUUUAAAUUCUUUUAAACUCUCACCCUCUCGGGCAGUAAUUGAGGAAAGGACUUCCACCUUUCUCUUUGCCUAUUCCUAGCUUCAUUCCAUUGUAGGAGAGACUUUUUGGAUUACUGUUUAUGUUUCACAUCCCUUGCUUCACUCCUCGGCCAUGUGAUAGCCUCAUAUCAGAAACCAGCUUGAACAAACUAAGCCAAGACUCUCUGCUCAUUUGCUGACUUUAAUGAAAGGACACCCAAGUGGCAAGAACUGAAGGAGGCUUGUAGGAAUUGGGGAUGGCCUCCAGCCAGCAACCUGCAAGAUCAUGAGGCUGUCAGUCCUACAACUAUAAGGAAGUAAAUCCUGCUGACAACCUGAAAGAGCUUAUAGCAUGGGAGGAGUUGAUGUGGAUCAUUGGAAAAUACAGCCUGCCACAAAUGGACAUAAACGAAAGUCUCCUCAUCGAUAGUUAAGAAAGCCAUGUUGGUUCACCACAUGUAUCGCAUCCUGAUAAUGUGAAGUGAAAAAGUAGAGCCUGGAAGCCUUUGUAAGAUGACUGUGCCAGAGGAGGAAGAUAAAUAUCUCGAUGCUAUGGAGGCCUGUCAGCUCUUUGAAGUAUCUGGGCAAUAUCAAGAUUUCUACUUCAGAUGAAAAAACAAAUAGUUAUUCAUUGACCCUGUUGCCGCCAAGAAAGAGGUGAAAGGUGAACCCCCAACCCACGGAAAGAUCCAGCCAAGUAAGGAACUGCAAAAUAUUGAAUGACUAAUUCUCCAAACAAGGAGAACAAGAAGAUUUAUACUAGCCAUGCAAGGAAUCUUUGGAAGUCUAACAGACCUGACUUGAAGAGAAGGCUUUAAACAAGAAAUUCUUCAUUCUGGAACAGUGAUUCUUAAAGUGCGGUUCAGAGACCCUGGGAGACACUGACAUUCUUUCAGAGUGUGAGUGAGGAUUUCCUCUUUGCAACUACAAUCUGUGUAAGGUUGGAUUUUCUUUACAUACAUAAACUAAAAUAAGAUUGCAAUAAGAUGAAUGCAGAAGCAGAUAAGAGAAUCCAGCUGUCUUAAGUUAGACUUCACAGAGAUUUGCAAAAAUCCAAACAAGACCACUCUCGUCAUUAAAGUUAUUUUCCAUUUGUUAUGGUGAACUUAUUUUGCAGGAAAUUUGUUAUUUAUAGUAACAUACAAUUUUGUUUUUUGAUCAUUUUAAAUAAAUUAAUAAAUAUUAUAAGUUUUCUAUUUUUAAAAUUAUACAUGUCAGAAAAGAACAGUUCUUUCAGGUCCUCAACAAUUUUAAGACUAUUAACUUGUUUUGGAUCAAAAAGUUCUAGAUUUGCUAUUCUAGACAUGAAUCCUUUGAAAUUAAUUGGCUUCAUAAGUAUAUUUUUCAAGUUUGUGGCUUGUCCUGUAACCUUCUACUGUGUAGAAGUUUUAAAUUUUAAUUUAAAGAAAUUUAAAAUUUUUUCAUUUUUGUUUGUGCUUUUGGUGUCAUAUUUAGGAAAUCCUUCUCUACCUUGAGUUCAUGAAAAUAUCCUCUUAUAUUUAGUAUUUACAGUUUGUUCUUCAUCUUUAGGUCUAUAAUUUAUUGAAAAUAUAGUUUUGUAUGUGAUGUAAGCUAAAGAUAUUUUUUAAAACUUGAUAUGGAUAACACAUUUUGGCAAUAUUAUUCAUCCACUCAUUCUCCCACUGACUUUCCCUCUGCCACUUACUUACCUACAUAAGAAUUUGUCGUGGAGAUUCUCUUUUCUAUUCUUUUAGUCUAAUGGCUUAAUUGUUGAUCAAUUACCCUUUUUAACUAUUGAUGCUUUAGAGUAAGUCUUGAUAUAAAGCCAUGUAAGUCCCUUGAAUUAGUCUCCCACUUUUCCUUCUUAAAAACAUUCUGGGAUCUUCUUGGCCUUUAACUCCUCUGACUUAAUUUUAGGAUCAAUUUCUCAGAUUACAUUAACAACCUGUUCAAAUUGCAUAGAUUUUAUAGGUAAAUCUGUAUAAAAUUUACAUGUUAUAAUAUUGGGGCUUUUUAUUCAUAAACAUUUUCACCAACGUUUUAGUUUCAUAUCUUCCAAUAAGAUUUUAUAAUUUUUCAUACCUAUCUUAGAUGAUUUUGGUUGCAUUUAUUUUUUAUAGUUUUAGUUUUAUUGUCAAUGCAGCUUUUUCCAAUUCAAUUUUAUAACAGUUUUGCUGGUUAAAAAAAAAAAAAAGACUAUUUAUUUUGUGUAUUGGUUUUUAAAUUGUACAAUGUUUCUGAAUUUUCUUACUUCCAAACAGUCGUCUAUAAAUUAUCUUGAUUGUCUAAAAUGUGAAAUUCAUAUACUAUGAGAAUGAUAAUUUUAUUUUUUCAUUUUCAAUUCUUAAACUUCUGAUGACACUUGGCUGGAACCUCCUUCACUAGGUUGAAAAUAAGUGGCAACAGUGGUAUCCUUGUUCUGUUAUUGAUUCCAAGAGCCUGCCUCUAAUGUUUCCCCAUGUAUUAUGAUGUUUGUGUAAAUUUUGAUAGACCUUAUUUAUUAAGUAAAAAGAUUCUCUUCUAGUUCAAGUUUGGUCUACAAGUUUUUAUUGUGAAAGUGAACUGAAUUUUAGAAAUACCUUUUAAUGUGUAUAAAAAAUUAUAUCUUUAUUUCUGUUAAUGUGAUAAAUUACAUUAAGAGAUUUUAUUAAUAUUUGGUUAUCUUUGUAUUUCAACAAUUAUUUGGUUAUCUUUGUAUUUCAACAAUUAUAGUCAUAUUAUUAAAUAUUAAUUUGGUUAGCUAA